UGGGGAAUAUUGCACAAUGGGCGCAAGCCUGAUGCAGCCAUGCCGCGUGUAUGAAGAAGGCCUUCGGGUUGUAAAGUACUUUCAGCGGGGAGGAAGGGAGUAAAGUUAAUACCUUUGCUCAUUGACGUUACCCGCAGAAGAAGCACCGGCUAACUCCGUGCCAGCAGCCGCGGUAAUACGGAGGGUGCAAGCGUUAAUCGGAAUUACUGGGCGUAAAGCGCACGCAGGCGGUUUGUUAAGUCAGAUGUGAAAUCCCCGGGCUCAACCUGGGAACUGCAUCUGAUACUGGCAAGCUUGAGUCUCGUAGAGGGGGGUAGAAUUCCAGGUGUAGCGAUGAAAUGCGUAGAGAUCUGGAGGAAUACCGGUGGCGAAGGCGGCCCCCUGGACGAAGACUGAUGCUCAGGUGCGAAAGCGUGGGGAGCAAACAGG
rnacentral:rRNA from 1 species